CUUCUCCUAGCAGAUGGUUAGAUUAUCACAUCCAUCUCCUGGAGAAGGGUUUCAUAUGUGUUCCCAGGGGCUUCUUCUUGGCAUUGGGGUGUGUUUUGGUUUCUUGCUCUGUCUGCUAGGAGCUGGCCUCCACCCUGGGGCUGGCUGUUAUGGCUGGAAGUUGACAUCAUAUUGAUUUAGUUGUAGUUCCUCUUUUGAACGGAAAAAGACCCUCAAAUCUUGCUCCAGAGUGUCUGUUCUCUCCUGGAAGAUAGUUUUUCAGUCUGUAUUUUAGCCUUUGAGUUUUGGAUCCUGGCCGUGAGCUCAGUCACCAUUCUGAUUAAAUAGUUUUGCCUUUAU